UACGUAGGGGGCGAGCGUUGUCCGGAAUCAUUGGGCGUAAAGAGCGUGUAGGUGGCUUGGAAAGUCUUACGUGAAAGCCUGCGGCUCAACCGCAGAAGUGCGUAGGAAACUUCCUCGCUAGAGUCCGGAAGAGGAGAGCGGAAUUCCUGGUGUAGCGGUGGAAUGCGCAGAUAUCAGGAGGAACACCCGUGGCGAAGGCGGCUCUCUGGGGCGGUACUGACACUGAGACGCGAAAGCGUGGGGAGCGAACAGG
rnacentral:rRNA from 1 species